AUUGAACGCUGGCGGCAUGCUUUACACAUGCAAGUCGAACGGUAACAGGUUAAGCUGACGAGUGGCGAACGGGUGAGUAAUGCAUCGGAACGUGCCCGAUCGUGGGGGAUAACGCAGCGAAAGCUGCGCUAAUACCGCAUACGAUCUGAGGAUGAAAGCGGGGGACCGUAAGGCCUCGCGCGAUCGGAGCGGCCGAUGUCAGAUUAGGUAGUUGGUGGGGUAAAGGAUCACCAAGCCAACGAUCUGUAGCUGGUCUGAGAGGACGACCAGCCACACUGGGACUGGGACACGGCCCAGACUCAUACGGGAGGCAGCAGUGGGGAAUUUUGGACAAUGGGCGAAAGCCUGAUCCAGCAAUGCCGCGUGCAGGAAGAAGGCCUUCGGGUUGUAAACUGCUUUUGUACGGAGCGAAAAGGUCUCUUCUAAUACAGGAGGCCCAUGACGGUACCGUAAGAAUAAGCACCGGCUAACUACGUGCCAGCCGCCGCCGUAA
rnacentral:rRNA from 1 species